ACCACAGGUGUUUUGGAUUUUGGAUUUUUUCAGAUUUGGGCAUAUUUGCAUUACACUGGUUGAGCAUCCCUACUCUGAAAAUCUAAAAUUUGGAAUUUCCUUUGAG
rnacentral:miRNA from 1 species